rnacentral:misc_RNA from 1 species
GGGAAGCUGCAGGAGUUUGAAAAGGCAGACAUGGUAUAUAAAGAGAUGCAUGAAGAGGGAUGUGUUUUCUCUGAUGAAGUUCACUUUCAAAUGCUUAGUCUUUAUGGUGCUAGAAGGAAUUACGAGAUGGUUGAGACACUCUAUAAGGUGCUAGACUCUGAUCCUAAUGUUAACAAGAAAGAGUUGCAUCUUGUUGUUGCUGCCAUUUAUGAAAAAGCAAACAGAAUGAAUGAUGCAUCUCGAAUUAUAAAUCGGAUGACU